rnacentral:rRNA from 1 species
AUUGAACGCUGGCGGCAGGCCUAACACAUGCAAGUCGAGCGGAGCGGCGGACGGGUGAGUAAUGCCUAGGAAUCUGCCUGGUAGUGGGGGAUAGCGUCCGGAAACGGGCGCUAAUACCGCAUACUAUCAGAUGAGCCUGGGGCGGAUUGGCUAGUUGGUGGGGUAAAGGCCUACCAAGGCGACGAUCCGUAACUGGUCUGAGAGGAUGAUCAGUCAACUUGGAACUGAGAAACGGCCAAGACUCCUACGGGAGGCAGAAGUGGGGAAUAUGGGACAAGGGGGGAAAGCCUGAUCCAGCCAGGCCGGGUGUGUGAAGAAGCUUUUCGGAUUGUAAAGCACUUUAAGUUGGGAGGCGUUACCAACAGAAUAAGAACCGGCGAACUUCGUGCCAGCAGCCGCGGUAAAC